GUAAAAAACCUAAAGCCCCAAGGCUAAAUAAGGGCAAGCGAGUUUUAUCUAAACUUUUAUGAGCUCUAUUAAACCCUCUCCACCUACUCUAGUGACUUAAUCAUUGGCGAGGUCGGGUCAAGACAUCCCCCUGACGUCGACCGCUUGUGCAAGACCCAAGCGCAUCUAAGGAGCACCUUGGAGCGACGCUAUAUGCUUCCAGACAAGGCCAAGGCGCACCUCGGGAUGACCUCGAGCAUCCUUCAAUAGAUAAGUCGCUCCCCUAGAUUGCUUGCUCGAGCUGCCACUCUCACCUCGGCACGGGCCCCCAAGACAGAUCUGUGCCUUCGGGACCGAACCAGGCUAUAUUGACUCUCUAGUCAAUGGCACCAAGACAACAAUAGGAGAUGCAUAAUCUUUUGUUCCUCCGUGGAAGCAGAUAAUUGCAUUUCCAUAUAUCUAUGAUCUGGGAUGAGUUUAAAUAAUUUUUUUCAAAAAAAAAAAAGUUUGGUAGUCUUUCAAAAUAAAGAGAAUCAUAUAUAAAAAUAUCCAAUUUUAUCCAACAAGCUUCAAAAUCAAGGAGAAGAUUAAAUUUUGGCAUACUAUGUGUCCGCUGCUACUAAGACUCUGUCGGUAGCAAUGGUUCUGCAGUGGAAGCUUGGACAGGAUGACUCUGUUCAACCAUGUCAUCUUUAGCUUUUGCCCACAGAAGAAGAUAUAAACCCAGUAUGACAAGCACCGAGCCAACAAUGCUGGAAGAGUUUUAAGCUGUUUAGUGGGCGACGAUACGAUGCUGAAAGCAUAGUAUUUAGCAAGACGGUAAUUGUUUGGAACUCUCACCUUGCAAGCUCUUCCGUAACCCCAAUCAAGAUUAUUUGGAGGAGGAAUGAGAAGACGACGAGCAGCGGAGAGAAUGCAGACCCGAAAACGGGGCCUUUCUUGUGUAUGCACCAAUUCCGCGCAAAAUAUGACACACCAUUUACGAGGAUUCCCUGGAACACAAAAUGUUGUGUAUUAGAUGUGAAUGACUUGUAGAGAUAUCUUAUAACAUGGCACUAUGGAAGGGUUUUUCUUCAUGCUCUACUGCAUUGUUCAUAGGAAAGAUUGUCGUUUUGGAUAUCUGACUCAUUUCGGUGAUCCCAUCAAUGUCAGUGUAUUGAAGUAUGAUAUAUUGAUGCAUAUCAGUGUUUUCCCGGGUAGUUAAGGAAGAGAAGGAAGAAUGAAGUAAUAAGAGGAAGGAAGAAAAGGAGGUGGCAGAGGAAAGAGGAAGAGAAAACUAAGAAGACUAUUAAACGGGUCGGAGGAGAUCUUUUUUUUAUGGGUCAGAGCAGAUCACCUGAAAUAAUGACAAUCCACAUAUCGAUUCAUGCCCAAACAACCGAAACCACAGUUCAUAGAGCCAUAGAAAACACAUCCAUUAGUUCAUGAGACAUUACUUGAAUGCAUUCUGUCUUCUUAAGAUUGAAUCAUGUGUUCAUGAAUUAGCCACUGUAGUUCUGUCAAGGUCUAUUACUUGUCAAUGACAUCAUAAAUAUGAAUAACUAAAUUCUUGUGGCAAUCCUCAUAUACAAAGCUAGAGUAAUAUUUUUGUAGUUCUUGUUCAUCUAAAACUACAACCAAGUAAUAGCAGUAUAGCUGAUUGACAACUGGAAAAAUAAAAUCAAUGCAAAUCCUUGACAUUAAGGAAUAUCAUGAAAGAAAGAUAUGCAAAUUGAAAAGCUUGAUAAUAGCAAUUGAUUUCACUUUCUUUGGUACAUCAAUCUUAACUUUACCUUUUUCUACCAUCAGAUAAUGUUUGAAUAUUCAGGAAAAGAUCAAAUAUCAUAAGAAAAGAAAUGUCUUCAAGAGAGUCAAUUUAUAUCCAAGUAAUGCAGUGAUUAAGAGUAGAUAGUGAACUAACCCCAUAUAGGAUGGCAAGGAGCUCUAAGCUUCCACUCCACUUAAUCCUCCAGGCUGAGAGGUCCCUCUCCAUGGUGCCUGCAACUACUGCAACCUGGAGAGUCCCAAACACAGUGAUCAUAGCAGACAGCUUAAGAUCCGCAUGAUACUGCAGAGCCACCCUUUCCUGCAGAUAGAAAAAGCAGAGUCACAGCAUUCUACCAAGAACUACAUCACUUAAGAAGACCAGUCUUUUGGGCACAGAUAGAACACCAUAUAAUGCUUUCUUCAAUUAUGUGAAGACAUGGAUCUUCCAAGCCCUAAAUAAUUUCCAGUAGAGAAUGAGAAUCAAUUGCAUGUUCUAUGAUUGAAAUUGAUUAGAAUGGAGGAAGACAACGCCUACCGAAUUCAUAGCAUAAUUGUCUCAAUCAACGAAGGGUAUACCCACCACCAAAAGGUUCGCGGUAGCCUCGGCAAGAACAGCGACGCCGACCAUGACGAUCCCAACCAACCGACCGCCAUCGCCGGCCGUCAACCCGGCCGAGUCCCGGCCCGACAGGAGCACCACGAUGGUGGCGCCGGUGGCGGAAGCGAGGGUCCCCCAGAGCUUCCACUGCCCACCCAAGCUGCAGAACCGGAACCGCUCCCUGCCGGUGGCGGCUGCGAGCACGAACACCGCCACGGGGAUGGUGUUCAUGGCCACGCUCUGGAACGUCGCCGUCACGUAGCGCAGGCUCGUGGUGAACAUCAGCUCCCCGAGCGGAAUCCUUCAGCCCCAACACUUGGUGAAUCGAUCACCCAAGUUACAAUUGAAAGGAGGACAUUGGUCGAUUACUCAACUGUAGGAGACCGAUCACGGCGGACCAAGCAAGGAUUUUGGGGGUCGGCUUCGGUCCUUGGCGUCUGCAAUAGAUGUGAAUCGAUUCGAGGAGGAGAAGCGUUUGAGGGAAAUAGAGGAAGGUAAGUACCGCACCGGUCGAAGAGGAGGGCGAGGAGGGAGAGGACGAGAGCGGAGAGGAGCUGCUGGUAGGCGACGAGGACGGUGGCGCUGACGCCCGCGGAGGGGGCGAGGACGGACCGCAGGAUAACCAAGAAGCCGGCAAGGCAGAAUUGAGUCAUGGUCAUCACGAGGUAGGGCGCCGCCGCCUCCAUCUUUUGGCGGAGCUCCACCACGGCUGCUCCGACAACUCUUCUUCUCGCCCUUCGGCGCGUUUCUGUCGAGCCGCAUCUUUUCUAUUAUUAUUACCACUACUACUACUACUACUCUACUACUACUACUACUAUUAUUAUUAUUAUUAUUAUUAUUAUUAUUAUUAUUAUUAUUACAACAAUAACUACUAUUAUUAUUAUUAUUAUUAUUAUUAUUUAAUUAUUUUAUCAUCCUGCUUCAACCAGAAAUGCAUAAAGAAACAUGUAAUAAUUAUCACAUGCAUUAAUUAAAUUUGCAUAAUAUAGUACUUUAAUUUUGAUCGACUAUAAAAAAAUAUAUUUUCUGACAUGUUCUGUUCAUCUUCCAAAGUCGAUGGAAUCUAAUCGGAUGAAAUCGAUGCACUUCGAUCUGAUUUAAAAUUAUCGUCUCCACUCUCUACUAUUAAAUUGUCUCCAAUUACUUGUGUAAUUGGUUUGAUUCUAAUACAUCAAAUUUAAUAUCAUCAUCCCACUUGAUAUGAUGAUAAUUGUACCAUUGGCCUUAUGCAGCAUCAACAAUACAAAAUACUUAAGCUAUAUGAGUUAAUAGUUACACAAUUAAUUCACAUUUUCUCUCCAGAUGGAACUAAAAUCACCAAAUAUUUAUAGUGCACAUAAGGUUCAGUCCAAUGGUGAGUUCAUAUUAUGAUAGGUUGAACUGUUUCAGAUGAGAGAGAGAAGGAUGUGAAUAUGUAUUAGCUGUGAAGCAAUCAAUCAAUGACAUCUUUAAGAGCCUUCAGGAACAGCAGCAGCAGCAGCAUAUGGGUGCUGUGAGCAGAGUUCAAUACCACCAACUCAUCAUGCUGGAGGACCACACAACUAGGAUACAGAUCGAAUACCAUGCCAUGGAGCACCUUUGAUGGGUGGCCAGCAAAGAGGUGGGGAGCUCAGGAACAUGUUCUUGUGCUUGACAAGCUUUGCUGUGGCAAAAUUAGAUGCUCACAUGCCACAUUUUGAUACAACACUGUGAUAAGAUGCCACUAAAGUGCAGCAACAAUCCUUUAGCCAAAAUUUCUAAUCCCUCCUGAUUGUUUGCAGUAAGAAGACAAUUAAUGCACAGAAUUCAUGACAUGGUUAACCCCAAGUCAUCCUUUUCUUUGGGAAUCAAGAUCUGGGGAUGGUAUAGAAUUUUCAAUUUUCCUUGAGAACAAAAAUAAAUUAGGUGUAUAGUACAAUUGUCAGAUCCAGGGCAUUCAAUCUUGAUUCUCUUUCUUAUAUUUUAUGAAUUAACUUGGGACAAAACUUCACAUGUAGAUUGUAUAAAAAUACUCUUACAUUUUCUCUCUCUCUCUCUCUCUCUCUCUCUCUCUCUCUCUCACACACACACACACACAUAACUCAGUCUAGUUUAAAAUUGAACAGACAUAUAUAUACUCAUACAAAGUAAUAUGUCAAUAUACAUCUCAACAUCACCUCUUACUAGUGAACAAAUCUAUCAUCAAAAUAUCCAACAUCAUCUUCUGCUCAAUGGAAACAAAUAAUUUGAGAGACAUAAUGCCAAAUUCAGGUUUCAUGGAAAUAGAUACAUAUGUAUACACACAUAUAUAUAUAUACAAGCACAAGAGCCUUCAGCAAUUACAGAACAAUUUAGAAAUGAGAUAAAACUCUAAAGUUAUGGUAUGUAUUUGCACUCCUUAAUGUGUUUCUAUAGACAAGUAUUUCCUGUUUAAGCUGAUGGUGGUGGCACUCUCCAGGUUGCCUUAGUUCUAAGGAACUAAUGAUUCUGAAGAUGAAACAUAAUGAGUUAUUCCUGGGCAUGAUAUUUUCAUCUCUUAGCUAAUGGUGGGAACAAGAUUCUCUCUCCAAGUCACUAAAUUCUUUUAGAUGAUCUUUGCUUUUGAUUAACAUCAAAAGUGGGCAUACACUGUUGACUUGUCCACAAUCUUUGUCCAGUAACAAAUGAAAGAACCCUCCAUCACACAAAGAAGACAAAAGGCAUAUCAGACUUCUCUUAUGAGAAACAAAUGAUGGUGGUAGAAUACUGAUCUGUUCCACUUGGGUACCAAUAAUGUGCAAGAGGUUCUCUAUCUAUAUUUAUACAGCUUCCUCCUAACCAUAUAUGUAAGUAAUCAUACAGAUGAGAGCAUGAUUACAGGGCAGAUCUGUGACAUAAUUUGCCCAUGAUUAUGGUUUAUUAUAUACACCUUCCACACAGCUCACAGCUCACAGCUAGCUAUACACAGCUAGCUAAGGUACUUCACAUAAUUAAACUAUUUAAAUUUGCAAUGAGAUGGUCAAAAAGAUCAAUAACUAUGAGCUCUAACCAGUUCUUGGUGAGGUUCCAAUUCUUUCCGCUUCAGUCCCAAUCUUAAUCCUGUAAGGCACUCUAAUGAACAUUUAAGAGUGUGCAAAAGAGCUAUGGCUGUAGGAUGUGUCCAAGUUUCUACUAGUUGAAGACAAGCAGAUGAGAGAAACUUCUUUUGUGGCAUAUUUAUGAUUCUUGUUUAACCAAAUGAUGAUGAAGUUUUCGUUUCUCUGCUUUUGCUGUCUUGCUCUCAACAUGCAGAUAUGAGAUUUAAGCAUCCAGAAACUAAUCUUUUCUACAUGAACUACAUACACUAUGAGGUAAGCUAGCUAAUUCAACAGUUACUGUAAUCCUCUAAAGUGUUAACCUAAGGAGACUGUCUGCAUCCAAAGAUGGUGAAAAAGAAAGCAAUUAUGAAUUGCAAAGCCAGUAAACCACACACUUAAGCAAGGUAUUUGUUCUUGUGCUGUAAAGUUCAAACAAAUCAACAACAGAACAUACAGAAUAAACACACAACUAGAGAUGUAUAGCAGAAGAUGAUGGAUAAUGCACAAGGAAAAUUGAGCACUGUUGUAUCCAAAUAUUUAAUGACUAAAUAACCAUGGAUUUGUCCACUUCCAUCAUCGACGAGAAAGCAGUCAUAGUAGCAAAUGCAAAUUAUACUGGACAUACCCUCCUCGAUUGCUUUCCAUCGACCAAUCCUUUUUCCCCAAAAUGGAAGGCAAUUAGCUACAAUUAUCUCGAUUUUAUUCACACAGCAGAUAAAGAUGGCAUCUUUCCAACAAAGAACAAAGAGGGGAACCCCUAACCUUCAUCCUCGCGACUUCUCGCAUUGCCGCCGCAGCCUGAAUGUGUGCUCUGGUGGUGGUGGUGAUUGACCUUGGCCAAGCCCCGGAAGCCACUGCCUCUGGUGGACUCUGCCGCCUUGGUUCUGGUGUCCACAUAGGUGGCCGACCCCAUCUCCAUCUGUACCACCCUCACAGCCCCCAGCAGCCGUUCGGGCAACUCCUCUUCCGCCUGCGCCUCCACCAGGAACCCCAUGUCGAUCGUCACCGCCGUCACGUAGCCCAGGGCGAGGCGAAGGAUCGCCUUGGCGAUGGACGAGCUCUCGAUGUCGACGUCGAUCUCCAGGUAGUUCUCCCCACGGUGGUAGUUGCAGGUGAGCGCCUUCCCCAGGAGGCAGGCGGCGUAGUUUCCAACGGCGGUCUUCACGAUCCACGGGCCCUUCACGAUCCGGUUCACGAUCUUGAACCGGGCGUUCCGGAACUCGUCAUCGCCAUGGACGAAGCGGUAGAACAGGGAACCGGGCGGGAUCGUGUCCUCGGCUGCGAAGUAGAAGACAGCGGAGUGGCAUUCGCGGCCGCCGGGGACCUGGAGGUUGACGGCGAACAGGAAGGUCUUCUGCGCGCGGCCGAGGGCUCGGGCGCGGCGGAGGGCGGCAGCGACGCGGUUGUCCGAUCGGCCAAGGACGUUGUCGAGGCGCGAGGGGGAGCGGAGCCAAUCGACGCCGGCAGGAUUGAGCAGCCAGUCUCCAGAUGGGGCCUUCUGGCGGUGGGAGAAAUACUGGCGGCCGCGGAGGGCGAAGAGAUCGCCGGGGGGCGACGCCCAUCCGUUGGAUCCUGUGUGGAGGUCCACGCGGCGGAGGGAUCCGCUGUCGAUGACCUCCUGGCGCCAAUCGUAGGGCUUCUUUCCGUCCGCUGGGGAGCCAGCGGCGCCCGAGUUCGUCGGCUUCGGGCACAUCUCCGGCGAUGGCGACUCUUCCUAGGAGACCUCCUCCCUCGCCUGCGUGUAUCGCAUCUGGUGGUGGAAUCGCUAUAUAUCAGCUGAUGCUUACAUUUUAUGCCAUCCGCUAACCAUCUAUUCACGGAACUGCCACCCGCUGCUUCCGAACCACAAUUAUUAUUCUCACAUUAAUUUGACAGCUCACAUGACAUUUCGUAUGAGCGACAUGCACAUAAUAAGCAGCAGCAGCAGUCGCAUGCCAAACGGCGCUUACAUGGACCAGACAUCAGCAUCAGGACGUUCCCGUCGUAUCACCUCCGACUCGAGCAUUUUUCCCGCACGUGUGAGAUAACGACGGAGCCUGAGAGCGCCGUCGCGUGGCAAAUCACGGCCAGGGAGCGGAGCGGAGGGCAGUCGUCGGCAUUCGAGUUAAUGGAGCGCAGGGUUGCAUGUGGGCAUUAAAGCAAGCACUUGGUCGGCGUCCGCGGGGCACCCGAUCCCACACAUCUCGGCUGCAAAUCCCGGCGUCUCCCACCACCGACCGUGUCGUACGUUACACACGGCAGCGGGCAUUAAAGUUGUGGGAGCGACUGAUUAGGAAACUUAAUGUCGAGGAGGGAGGAGGGAGGAGGACAAUGAUUUAGCAGCGAUGACAACUGUGUCUGAGCUCCUCUGGUGCGGCAGCGGCGUAUCUGCCGCUGUGCAUCACGUUCACGACGGAGAAUCCUGCAGUUGGAUGCAUCCAACUCGAAGGAAUAGGAAGCUCGGUGUCGCCUUCUGCGCUGCGCACAGCUCCGCAUGUUUGACCCUAAGAGAAAGGAAAAGAAGCAUCGGAGGGAAAGCAAGGAGGCGGUGGAUUCCAAGUAGGAUUGACGAGGCGAUUCGUGUGUCAUCAACGUGUCCUUUUGACUUGGAACGAUUAGAUACGAGGCAUUACGUUAGAUACCCGAUCUUUCCACCCACGACAAAAGAUUUAAAUAAGAUGCAUUACGUUAGAUAGCCGAGUAAACAUAGGCUUUAGGCCCAUCCGAAAAGCCUGAUGGAUCAUGUUAAUUGGAUCUUAAUUGGGCCAAGCCAUGAAGUAUAGUUGCAUAGAAACCCUAUCAGCACCGAUGCGACUCCCCAUCGCUAAGAAGAAUGCAUGGUGACCCGAGAGGUAGUGGAACCUGGAAAGAGGCUCGUGGCCGAAGGGACAGAAAGCUAAAAAGAUGACCUUGAUGAUUGUCAACCAUGAAGCUGAGCUUUAGAUAUCUAUGGAGCGCCCACCAUGUGAUGACACUCCCUCCCGUCUCAUGCUUUUUCUCAGUACUGAUGUGUUGCAGUAUAAUGAUUACAACAACAAUAAUAAUAAUAAUAAUAAUCUUCAGGAGAAGCAUUGCAGGGAAGAUGAGGAGAAGAGUGGACAAGGAAAUCUAGCUAGCGGACAUCACCCCCUUGUUCGUUCGGCAGCAGAAGGAAUAGAUUCUGUCCACAGCAUUGAGGGCAUACUUCUACUUCACUGUACUGGUAUAUUCUUGAGCUGUCCUGAUCCAUGGAGGUUGCAUCAUGUUGCACUUUGGUCAUGUGGGCUUGUCUACAGGAAUCUCUUCCUUUCCGUAUGUCAUCGUUGGCCAUGAUGGUCAGGGAAAAGUUGACGUCCCAUCUUUGUCCUCGAUCUCCAACCUGGAGAAGUCUUAUCACCAUGUUCUAACCUAGACGGAUGCUUUCGAUGAAGCCAGCGACUCGUUCCCAGAGAUCCCACGAAUCGGACUGCCUUCUUCCUCUAAAUGCGACAAUGGGAGUCGAUGAGGCCGGUGACAAACAACCACAGAUGAGGAACAGGUCUUGAAUUGCUAGAAUACCGGGAGAAGAACAUCGUCUGACAUUCAUGAUGUCGAGGAGAAUUUUUCUUCGUCUUACACAAAGAUCACAAAAAAGAAAUCAAAUCUAAAUGAGAAGCGAAGGAGAACAAGAGAAGGAAUCACGGAAGAUUACAAUUCGGAUCAAACUACACGAAUUCGCUUCGUGGGAGGGAGAGGGAGGAAGACGGAGGCGAGAUCGCGGGGUACGGGGAAGAAUUCUCUGGGAGGCGGAGACUCCGGCGACGUCCUCUUCGCUGUCCUCGGCUUUCUCGGGGCCGGCGGGCAGACGAGGACGGGCUCCUCCGACCUUGGUGUCACGCACUCUUCGUGAUCAGCAUCCACCGCCGUCAUCUCCAGCGGUGGAAGCUGAGGCAAUUCGCCUACGACGGCCACCUCGGACCCCAUGGAAGCAGAGGACGGAGGAAGCGAAGGCCACGAGGAGGCGGACAGAGAGAGCAGCUUACGGGGUGAGAUAAAAGGCAGAAGAACAAAGGCGUGGCAUGUCCGCGGGUUGGGCAUAACAUAGCAAGAAACCAAGGGAGGCAGAGGUCAUUUCGAUUCAGGAAAAAAACAAGCAUUAAAAGAAACUAUUUGCAGCAUUUAAUUCAUCUCCUGUGACAGUAUGAUGGAUUAAGAUAGAUCUGUGCUAUCGCCAAAGGGUGGACGUAAGGGGGAUUUCAUGGCCAUGUUCCAACAAAAGAAUGUGGGUGGCAGCUUCGGAAAGCAUGGUACAUACGUUGUUGGUACACCCUUGGUGCCCACCUGGAAAACAAAGACACAUGAACUCUCGGCCACCUUUGAGCAUCAAACAGGGGAGGAAGGGGUCCAUGGCAGCUCGAUCGGUCGGUCGGCCAGCCAUGAAAUGUACGUCUUGCGGUGAUCGAUCCAUCGGAUCUGUGUGCGUAAACACGAGAUCUAACAAUCUGUCGAAGAUUUGGAACAAUGUCAUGUGGUAGAAAUGAUAGGAAUUCAUGGGAGGAGGACAGUGCAAGAAAGGAAGUAUAUGGACAAGAAAGAGAGGUGCAGCAGUACUUGUGGAUAUCUUCAGUUUAUUUACAAGUGAAAGGCAUUGAUCAAUACAGCCAACAACUUGGGGACAUCUCUGGGGAUGUGUGCACAACAUGAAGUCAGCUCAGGUAUGUGCCCUGCCACCUCUCUCUCUCUCUCUCUCUCUCUCUCUCCCAAAACCCUAAGAAAAGACUUCAGCAAACUUGUCAGAAAUAAGGUAGCCUCCAAUUUACAACUCCUCUUGGCUACAAAGUUUACAAUUGAAGUUACAGACUUUACCCCCAUUGUCACUCUGCCUUUGGGUCUCACAGGGAGUUGUUUCCUCAGCCUUCAAUGCCAACAGUCUGUCACUGUGGACCAAUUGAGGUUGAUGGUGCCAGGCCAGUAUUGUUGCUUGGUGAUUCAGCCUGCAAUGAGAAGAAGACACUUUGAUACUUCUCCUAACUGAAGACACCUUGUAAAAAUUACUGCUAACAACACUGGAAACUGUUUAGGCAUAGUUGAGGUGUAAUUUUAUGUACUAAAUUAUGGAAAUGUCAUGGUAAUUAUAUUUUCUGGUAACUUAACUUAUCAAGUAAACCUCUUGAAUUCCUGCUAUAUUUAAGAAAUAGAUACAAACUACUGUAACCAGCACAGAAGGUGAUUCAGUUCAAGAAGCACUAGUGUGUCUAAGGUCUUGAUGAGCAUAAAUUAACAAGAAGAAAUUAAUUGCCACUCAAGAUUAAGAAAUUACUUAUCUUUAAAGUUGACACCUAAUGAAAAAGUUGAUGAAGAGAGGUUAAACAUUAAAGAUAUAUGGAAGAAUAAAUUAAAUUAAUUAUUGAUUCUAGAAAAGAAUCUCAUGAGAGAAAAAGGAUUAUAAUGAAUAUAAUCUAUUCAUGGGGACUAUAUAAAUCCCCGAUAUAAUCUUUUGAAGUUAUAGUGAUUUUCUUUUGAGUAAAACAAAGAAUGAUUUGUCUUAUUUUUACUCUUUCUUAAAUAUAAUGAAUGUAAUAUAUGCAUGGGGACUAUAUAAACCUUAUAUAUUGGGUUAUGAAAGAUAUAGUCUUUUGAAAUUAUAGUGAGCUUCUUUUGAGUGAAAUAAAGAAUAUUUUAUCUUGUUGUUACUCUUUCUUGUAUGAUAGUUUUGUCAUUUCUUCAUAUCUAUUUUAACAUUUGGUAUCAUAGUCAGGUUAAGCUAUGACCUCUUCUUCAAGGACCUUCUAAUUUUAAAUUUUUAUAUUAACAAAAAAAAUUAUAAUAUAUGGUAUAUCGAAAUAAAGGUUCUUCUAAGUUCUCAAGAUAUAUGAGAGUUUAUAGAAAAUAAAUUUCUUGAACCAAGUCAAGAAGAAAGAGUAAUGGAUAAAGAAGCAAGAAAACAACUCAAAGAUCAAAGAAAGAAGGAAAAAAAGCCUUUGUUUAUGAUUUAUCAAAAACUUAAUAAUAUAAUAUUCAAGAUUAUCGCUCUAGCAAAGACUUUAAAAGAGGCUUGGGAAAUAAUUCAAAAAGUAUUUGAUAGUAUAUUUAAGAUAAAAAUACUUUGUAUAUAAGUUUUACAAGCUACAUUUGAAAUUUUAUAACAAUAUACUUCUGAAUAUAUUUCUGGUUACUUCUAAAAUAUCAUUUCUAUUAUUCACCAAAUGAGAAGAAAUGAUGAAUAAAUAAAUAAUCAAAGAGUAAUUAAAAAAAUACUACGAUCUCUACAUCUAAAGAUUGAUUUUAUUAUUGUAGCAAUUCAAGGGUCUAAAGACUUAGAACAAAUGCCUUUAGAACAACUAACGAGUUCUCUUUAAGUUUAUGAACAAACUACUAUAACCAACUCAUUAGAUGAUUGGGUUGAAGUGGCACUAGUGUGUCUAAGGUCCUGAGCACAGAUGAAGAAAUUAGUUACUACUCAAGAUGAAAAAAUUACUUACUUUUGAAGCUCACACCUAGUGAAGAAGUUUGUUAUAUCAAAAGGUGAAACAUAUUAAAGGUCUAUAAAAAAAUAAACUAAAUUGGUUAUUGGCUCUUAAAAGAGAGUAUCAUGGAGAAAGAUAUUUAUAUUAAAUGUAGUGAAUGUAAUAUAUCCUUGGGUACUAUGUAAAUCCAUAUUGGGUCAUGAAAGAUAUAAAGUCUUUUGAAAUUAUAGUGAGUUUCUUUUGAGUGAAAUAAAGAAUACUUUGUCUUGUCCUUACUCCUCCUUACGUGAUAGCUCCAUCUCUUCUCCAUAUCUAUUUCAAUAUUUGGUAUCAGAGCCAUAUUAACUUAUGACAUCUUCUUCAAGUACCAUCUAACUCAAAAUCCUUAUAUUGAUAAAAAAAAAAAUUAUGAUAUAUGAUGCUUUUAAAUAAAGAUUCUUCUAGACUGUCAACUUAUAUAGGAGUUUGUAGAAGACGAAUUUAUUAAACUAAGUCCAAUAGAAAAAAGAGCAAUUGAUAGAGAAGCAAAAAAAUAACUCAAAAAUCAAAGGAAGAAGGAGAAAAAAACAUUGUUAAUGAUUUACCAAAAGCUUGAUGAUAUAAUGUUUAAGAUCAUCACUCCAGCAAAAACUUUAAAAAAGGCUUGCGAAAUGCUUUAAAAAGUAUUUGAUAGUGUGGACAAAGUAAAAAAGUUUUAUUUAUAAGUUUUACUAGCUAAGUUUAAAGAUUUACACUGAGGUGCUUAUAAAUUGUCUCAAAAAGUAUUUCUAUUAAUUUAUCAAAUAAGUGAUGAAAGAGUAAUAGAAAAAAAUAUUAAGAUCUCAAUAUUCAAAGUUUGAUUUUAUUGUUGCAGAAGAGUCUAAAGUCUCAAAAACAAAUAUCUUUAGAAUAACCAAUGAAUUCUUUUCAAAGUUCAUAAAUAAAAGGCACAUAAAAAGAAUUGAAGAAAAAUCUAUAGAAUAAGCAUUACAAACCAAUCUUACUAUUAAGAAUAAAGAUGAAUCAAAAUCUCAAAGAAAAAAAGAUAAUGGACAAAAAGGAAAAUGUGACAGAAAUCAAACCAAUUAAGAAUCUCAAAACAAUAAAUGUGAUGGAAAAAAUUUUAGUUAAGAACAUAGCUGAGGCCAUCCACAUGGCAGAAAUUCUAAAAGGUUUGAAAUACAAUGUUAAGUUUUCAAAAAGUAUGGAUACUAUUUUUUAAAAUAUUAUUAUAAUCAGUGAUAAAGUAAAUUUUACUGAGAAAAAAGAAAAGAACAAAACUAAUGUUUUGAUAAUGAAAUGAAAAUUUGAAAAAAAAAAUUAGUUUAUGAUAUGAUAGUUAGAUACAAGAGCUUCAUAUCAUACGUGUGGCAUCAAAUACGUUUUUUUAAAAGAGAUACAAGUUAUUAUGAUAAUAUUACAUUUGGUGAUCUGUCUCAACACUAGCAAGAGACAACGGUAAAUUUUUUUUUACUUAAUAAUGAUAAAAAAUCAUACGUUUCAAUGUUUAUUAUGUUUCUAAUAUGAAAAAUAAUAUUCUGAACUUCAGGCAAUUACUUAGAUUUGUUAUAAAAAUAAUACGUUUCAAUAAUACGUUUCAAUGACUCUUUCAAUUUGUUAUAAAAAUAAUACGUUUCAAUGACUCUUUCAAUUUGUUAUAAAAAUAAAAACAUUAAUCUUUCAUCUGAAAAUAUGAAAAACAAAAUGUUUUCUCUAUAUAUUUUUAGUAGUCAAAUUAUUUUAAAAUUGAUAUUGAGGACAAUUCUACGUUAUGACAUCUUAGAUAUACUAAUUUAGAUUUUGAAGCUUUAAAACUUGUAGAGAAAUAUAAUAUGAUGACAAAAUUGUCAAGAAUUGAUUGCUCAUCAAAGUUAUGUGAAGUAUAUGUCAUGAGCAAGUAAGAAAAAAGUCUUUCAAAUUAGAUAUAUAAAAAGAGCAUGCCAUCAACUUGAACUAGUGCACUCCGAUGUUUAUGGCCUUAUCAAUCCAGUAUCACUUGAAAUAAGUUUUAAGAAAAAAAAAAGUUAUAAGUAAAUUUAAAAAAUUUAAGAAUUUUGUUGAAAGAUAAAAUGAUUGUAAGAUUAAAUGUUUAUGAAUAAACAUGGGUGGUGAAUACAUAUCAAAUGAAUUUAAAAGUUUAUGUAGAGAUAAUAAAACUUUACAUCAAUUCACUAUAUCAUAUAUGCCUCAACAAAAUGGUAUCUUAGAAAAAAAAAUAGGACUAUACUUAAUAUGGUUUGAUAUAUGUAAAACAAAUAUGAAUUCCUAAAUAAUUUUAGGGAGAGGCUAUUGCUCGUGUAGUUUAUUUUCUUAAUAAGUUUUCAACAAGAAGAAUUGAUAAUGAUACACCAGAAGAAAUAUAGAGUUUACAGAAAUAAAGAGUAAAUCAUUAGAGAAUUUUUAGAAGUAUUGUAUUUUCCAAUAUAUCAAAGAAAAAGGAACAAAACUUGAUGAUAAAGGUCAAAAAUAAAUCUUGUUAGGUUAUAUUAAAAAUUCUAUUUUUUGGGUAUAAACUUUAUAAUCCUACCACAAACAAAAUUGAGAUGUCAAAAGAUGUUAAAUUUAAUGAAUAAUAAAUUUGAAACUGCAAAAGUGGUAAGUAAUAUAAGAAAACUAUAGUUUCGAAAUAGUAUGAUACAAUACAAGCAAGCACUAAAAAGUAUUUGCCUAAAUUAUCAUCUAGAUCGACUAGGUCAUGUGAUUCAAAAAGUCCAAAUAUAAGAAAGAUAAGAACAAUUCAUGAAUUAUAUGAUGUGAUUUAAAUGAUUGAUACUAACAAUGAUAAGCUUUCUUUAUUUUAUCAUUCUAUAGGAUAUGAUCCAUUAACUUUUAAAAAAGCUUGUAGAAAAGAAAAUUGAUGAUAAGCUACGAAAGAGAAAAUUCAUAUUAUUAACAAAAAUAAUACAUGGGAUCUUAUUAUACUUUCAGAAGACUACCAAACAAUCAGUGUUAAGCGGAUCUCAAAAAUAAAAAAACAUACGCAAGGGAGGUAGAGAAAUACGAGGUCUAAUUGGUUACAAAGAGAUGCAAAUACAAGAUCGACUACGAAAAUCUAUUUGCACCAAUAGCUCGAUUGGAGAUACUAAGAUUACCUAUCUCCUUAGCAUCUUCAAAUAAAAUAAAAAAAUUUAUAUAUGAACAUCAAAUUUAUAUUUCUUAAUGAAUUUCUUGAAGAAGAAGUAUAUGUCCAACAAUCCCUAGUUUUAUUAUUCAUAAAUAAGAAGAUAAUAUAUUCAAGUUAAAAAGAGCUUCUUUUUUAACUAAAACGCAAGCAUGGAAUUCUUGAAAGAUACUUAUUUUAUUCAAAAUAUUUUUUUGAAAUAAACAUAUGAAAGUGUUCUCUAUAUAAAAUUUGACUCUAAUAGAGUUAUCUUACUUUUUAUACCUACUCGUAGAUGAUUUAAAUAUUUUAAAAUAUUUACAAUCAAUAGUGUCAUCAUGUUUAAAUAUUUUAAACACAAGAAUGAGUUUGAGAUGAUCGAUUUGGGCAUAAUUAGUUAUUUCCUCGAUAUCGAAAUUAUACAAGACAAUGAAAAAAAUUUCAUAUCACAAAAAAAAUUAGGUAAAUGAGAUGCUAAAGAAGUUUUCACGGAAUAUUGUCACUCUAUUGAUACACGUGUAGAAUAUAACACCAAAUUGACUAAAGAAGAUUAAGAUAAACUAAUUAAAUCAACUUAUUAUAAAAGUAUUGUUGAAUGUCUAAGAUAUUUAAAAUGUAAUUGCCUGAUAUAUUACUUAGAGCUAAUUUAAUAAGUAGAUUUAUGAAAGCUCCUAAGAUAUCUCAUUUAAAGGUCAUUACAAGAAUUUUAUGAUAUAUUAAAAGGAUAAUUGACUAUAGUAUAUUUUAUUCAUCAUUUAAAAGGUUAGAGCUUAUUGGAUAUAAUGAUAAUGUUUGAGUUGAAAGCUAGGAAGCUACCAUGAUCGAAACUACAUUCACAUGAUUUUAGAAAGAAAAAAAAAUCAAUCAUUGUUCUAUUAAGUUAUGAAGCAUAAUAUAUAAUAGCAUAUUCUUAUGUUUGUCAUAUAAUAUGACUAAGAAACUAUUCUAAAAACUUCAUGUGCCACAAGAGAAGUCAACCAAGACUUAUAUUGAUAACAAGUCAAUUAUUGUCGUAUCUAAAAACUUAGUCUAUCAUGAAAGAUCAAAACAUAUCGAAACAAGAUUUUAUUUUAUAAGAAACCAUAUCAUGAACAAAAAAGUGAAGUUACUUUGUAUCAAGAUAAGCAAACAAAUAAUUGAUAUAAUCAUAAAAUCUCUCAAAUUUAAAGUAUUUAAACAACUUCAAAAAAAAAUUAACAUGUUAAAUGGAGUAGGUUUAAGGAAAAAAACAUUAUAAUUAAAAUUGCUAAGGCAUCAUAAAAAAAUUAUUAUAUGAAUAGAUGAAACACACUAAAUAUAAUGUAUUCAUUUGGACUAUAUCAACCUCAUAGGUUGGAUAAUAAAAGAUAUAAAAGUUUAAAAAAAAUAUUUUAUCUUAUCUUCUCUUUUUUUUUCUAUUUCAACACUUUUAAAAACGUAUGAUAUUAAUAUAAACAAUUGACCUCUUGACAGGGUUAGAUUGACUUGCCAUUUAAAUACUUAAACUGAUUUUUUUGUCCUACUCAAUUAUGCAAAAACUACAGUUCAAAGAUCAUUCACAUAUUGACAAAGUAAUCCUAGUUUCUUUUGAGGAAAAUGGAAGUCAAUGCUACUUUUGUUUUGUGCACUUGUCCUUUCUUAGAUUCUCUUGUGCAGGUGAUCAGAGUAAUUGCAAAUUAGAAGGGACUCGGAGAGCGACCAGCCACCAACCUGAUCCCCAUCGUAGGGCACCAGCAUUGAAUGCCUCUCAACGCAUUUCCCUGCUUAUUAUGCCUUACUUAAUGUCUUCUUAUUUCUUGUUUCAUAAUUAUGACCAAAAUGAUGAUAAUAAAUCCUUCAGUGUAUAAUCCUCAGAAUGCUGUCGAUGUUAUCAUGAUGCUUUACUCUGUGUUCUCGACUUCAACUUUGACUUCCUCUGUGUGACACCUCGGAUGAUCGACUCGUCUUCCACCAUGCAUGUUUCGAUUGGCCCAUCGUUUCAAGGCUAAGCCCAACUUUUUAUCUCCUAGUCAUCAUCCUCAUCUCUUUGGAUUGGAGUCCCACAAACCCCUGAGAGUUGGAACAUGAAUCGAUAAUAAUGAUCCAUCAAAGUCAUACAUUAUAUAAAUGGGAUGACCAUACUACCAAGGAGGAGAAAGAGAAAUGCACUUGCACUCUUAACAGCUACACUGUAUGCUUUCAAUUCCAAUCCUAAUGGCAUGUUUGGCAAUCAAUGCUCAUUCAAUCUGGUCAACUGUGUGAACAGAAGAUGGAAUAUGACUGCUCUACAACAUCUGCCUCCGAUUCUUACAUAUUGGAUCGAGGAUAAUAUCCCGUUAUCGUAUCCCUAUGAUCUUAAUCUCAACCAAUUACUAAUUGACGUCUAUCUAUCUAUCUAAUUAGUUGGGGAAGAGAAGAAUGAAUGAAGUCUUAUUAAUCGGUGAGACCGUCUAAUUUUUCAUAGAUUUGAAUCCGAGUGCUAAUUGGAUCCCUUUUUUUCGGGUUAUCGGAUUCCAUUGCUAGUUGACUUUUUCUAUUUUUUUUCUCCUUCCUUUUUGUUCUCCGAAUUCCGCUAAUGCUAACGUCUACUCCGAUCAUGCAUCCUAAUUUCGACCGUCAGAUUCAUCUACGGACGAUCCAACGGCUCACACACUUCACCGGCUCUUCCCGGUUCCCCGAUGCCCCCCUGCGGCUGGUCAACAGUUCUCCUGCAGCGCCCAACGCUCUCCCGGUCCCACCCCCACUCAUCAUUUCCCGCACCUCCUGAACCCACCGAAAAAUAAGGACCCUCCAGCAAACCCACCAAUAUAUCCCUCUCCAUGCCGGGCCCCGUAAGCCUAAAGCGAUGAGGUCAAACUCGGGUACGUCGGCAUGAGUGAUUCUACAUUCGAAUAUAUAAUAAUUGUGGGACUUAAGGAGGUGCUUUCCUCGUGAUUGCAUCCACCAUUACCACCCACUUGCCGAGAAAGUCCACCACCUCCAUUGUUUGUUUGUAUGUUUGUUUCAGUGGUGUGCGAGGCCACCACCACCAAACCCACUGGUUUACCCCAACCCUCCCCUCCCUCUCUCUCUCUCUCUCUCUCUCUCUCUGAGUCAAAGCACACGCAGAUCCCACUAAUAAACAAUCUUAAUUCUACGCCCAUCUACUAAUAAUACACGGAGAUUAUGUUGACCUGCCAUCUAAUGUAAUCAUGAUCCGGCGUUGAGAUUUCUCGAUGCCUCGUGAUUGGGGAAAAUGUUAUGAUGAUGAUGAAAGGGUCUACUAAAGCAUAUGGUCGUACCUGCUUUGUGGAAGAGGGCGCCUCCCUUUGGUGAUGCCAUCACGAGAGAGGAGUUGUGAUCGUAGCCGUCCGAUGAUAAAGUACCCUUUGACUUCAUCCUCGGUCCCCACUCACCAUGAAUAAAUGUAACCCCCUUCUCGGCUUCUUCCCAGCUCUGGGACGCUUCUUCUUCUUCUUCUCCUGCCUUCUCAUGGUGGUGGUUUAGGGUUUGGUGUCGGAGGUGUGACGAUGGCGGUAGAUCUGAUGGGGUAUGGGAAGAUGGACGAGAAGAUGGCGAUCCAGGAGGCGGCCACCGCGGGGCUCCGCUCCAUGGAGCACCUCAUCUUCCAGCUCUCCCACCGCCACCAGUCGCCGCAGCUCGACUGCCGCGAGAUCACUGACCUUACCGUCUCCAAGUUCAAGAAGGUCAUAUCCAUCCUCAACCGCACGGGCCACGCCCGCUUCCGCCGCGGCCCCGCCGGCCCGCCGACGGAGAACUCGCCUCCGCGAGCGCCGCUGGCCCUGACCCUCCCACCGGCCAAGCCGCCCCGGCACCUGGCCCCGCCGCCGCCGCCGCCUCCCCCUCCGCCGCCGCAGGCCUUGACCCUCGACUUCACGAAGCCGGUCGCCAUCGGCGGGCGGAGCGAGGCCACCGGCAGCAAGUACACGACGGAGAGCUUCAGCAUCUCGACGACGAUGACGUCCGCGACGUCGUCGUUCAUGUCGUCCAUCACCGGAGACGGCAGCGUCUCCAACGGCAAGAUCGUAUCCUCCUCCUUCCUCCCCGCCUCCUCCGGCAAGCCUCCGCUCUCCUCCUCCUCCUUCAAAAAGAAGUGCCACGAGCACGCUCACUCCGAGCUCGUCGCCGGUAAGUACGCCGUCCCUGGCGGCCGCUGCCACUGCUCCAAGCGAAAGUAAGGAAACUAAACGAAACCCCCUUCCGAUCACCCCUUGACCGUUAUUCUGAAACAACCAAACGCCUUUGAGCAGGAAAUCUCGGGUCAAAAGGACGAUCCGGGUGCCGGCGAUAAGCUCGAAGACGGCCGAUAUCCCACCCGACGAGUACUCCUGGCGCAAGUACGGGCAAAAGCCCAUCAAGGGCUCCCCCUACCCGCGGUAAGCAUCACCUCCUCCUCGCUUCGCUUCCGACCGUCCGAUCCGAUCCAGAUCGUGCGGCUAAUCGCUCUCUUCCUUCUCCACCGCAGGGGUUACUACAAGUGCAGCAGCGUGAGGGGGUGCCCGGCGCGGAAGCACGUGGAGCGAGCGCCCGACGACCCCACGAUGCUGAUCGUCACCUACGAGGGCGAGCACUACCACACCCGCGGCGCCGCCGUCGCCGCGCCUGCAGAGCCAUCCGACGUCCCCGUGGCCGCCGUCUGACGCCUCACAUCCCUCCAUCCCGGACCACCCUCCUCUAGUCUUCUUCUCCCGCCUCCCCCUUUUUAUUUUCCCCCUUUUGUUUUAUCUCCCCUAUUUCCCGAUCUCCCGCUACUGUAAAAAGGGAAAAAAAUCGCGAAAAAAGAAAAGAAUAUUCCAGAAAUUUGACCGCACUCCGAGGGGAGGCGCAGUGGAGUGGAGUGAGUUGAUCUUUAAAAAGCGUGCAUCGAUCUCGUGGUAAGCUUAAUAUUGUUGCGUGCAUGUCAAAGAUGCUCUCUGCCUUCCGACCUCCAUCGGUCAUGCUGUAUCCACUGCUCAAUUCUAUCGCUGAGCAGCUGAAGGCUGCCAUCCUUGGAUGGUGUGUGAGGCGCAUCUCCUGUGGACUGGCUGCAAUAUGGGCAGUGGUCGAGGCUAAAGCAGUGAUAGUUUUGGAUGUUUGCUCCGUUACUUUCUAUUGCUUUUGCAGUAUGUACAUACUUAUCCCCAUCAAAAAUCUGUGGAAAUUUCAUGAGAUAUCACUCUAGAACUGUCCUCUUGCAAGAUGAAAUAUGGGUGCCUGCGACUUCACAUGCUCUUCAGUUCUGGUCAAUGAUGCAGGUGGUGGGAACGCAUGAGACAGAUAUAUAGUCUCUGCUGAUCUUUUGAUUCUUGAGGGAUGUGAAUUAGAACAGUGGUUUUCGGAUGCCGUCAUCUGCUUAGAUUGCUUGCAUUGCAGGAAUGUUACGACUUGUGGAGAGAGUGUAAAGGAAGGAUGGUUUGAAUUGAACAGCUUGGGAGGUGAAGGUCUCACCUUUAUUUUAUGUCGAUUGAGGUACCACAAGCAGGAGGAGGAGCACGAGAAAUGUGGGUGGGAGAAUCUGGAGCACCAGAUUUUACUGAGGAGUGUGCAUCUGUCCAAUGGAUCAUCAUCACUUUUAUUAGUGGGAUGUGACCUGUCCCAUAAGCUGUUGUGGAAGAUGAGUUGACUUGGGGUGGUGCAGAUGGAGGUGACAGACAGCAACCCAUGCCACACAAAGUUGGAUGCCUGGUUCUCUCUCCACUAGAUUUGUGUGAUAUGCUCUUUUUACUGCAUUCCAACAUGAAUAUUACUCCCAGUGGGCAAAGAUGGUGGUGGUGGUGGAACAAUUGGCCAUACAGUCCUUCCCAUCUCAAUUUGAGUAUCAGAUUUGGUGAUUGGCCCCACAUUGCAUUAGAUAUUUAUGUCAAUCAUCAAGUGAUGGAAUAUUUCUCCAAAGGAGAUGUAAUUAUUUGCUUUUUCUUAAAAUAAAUUAUUAUUUUUUAAAAAUAAUUAUAGAUAAUUUUUUUAUUAUAAAAAGGAUAAAUAAAUUUGACUCUCGAUUAAAUUAUUAACAAGUCAAUCAAUGACACCAUUAUUAUACUCUCUUAGAUAAUAUAAGAGUUAAAUUAUUACUAAAUUAAAUAUAUUUGAGAUAAUGAUUCAUUUAAAUAAUAAUAAUAAUAAUAAUAAUCAAACUAUGGUAAAUUAGAUGCUUGCCGAGAUAGUAACUAUCUUAUCGGGGAAAGAAAAGGAAGAUCGAUCAACCCAUUCAUCAUUCAUCAUUCAUCUUACUUGAAGACAAAGAAGGCUCACCAUCUUUCCCUACUUUUUCUUCCUUUUGACCAACAUUAACACAUAAGAGGUCCCAUUCGGACAUCAAAUUCGUGUUCCUCAAACACGUGUCGCGUGAUACGAUUUGGAUCAGGUCAAACAUCUUUAACGUUGAAACGUGUGUCCAUUAUUCCACAUCCCCAAAUCUAUGGCCAAGUCAUGCUUAGGGUUUGACAAUCUUGCGUUUCACUAUAGGUUGUGAUUGAUGGCCCCCUACUACUACUACUACUACGUGACAUGUUUCAUGUUCUUAUUUUGCGGGCCUUUUUUUUCUGUGAUUUGUCAUUACUAAGUUCAUACUUUAUGGCACUAUUUAUAUUGCCCGGAUAUGAAGAUGAUUAGAUAUUCAUAUUCACUUUGUAACUCUUCUAGAACAUCAAUCAACACCUAACUCAUGAUAUCCUCUGAAAAUGUAAUACAAAAUGUAAAUUAAUUAAUCAGCAAUAUUACGAUAUUUGUGAACUUUUACUAACUCAGUCAAGUCAAAAAAAAAAAAAAUCAUUCAAUCCAUUCCAUGCGAAUGCGAAUGCGAUGCGAACCAAAAAGUCAAUACCGAAAAAUCUAUUAUUGGUCCUGUCAUGAUUUAUCGACCAAUCGACUAUCUUAUUUUUCACAUGAAAUAUAUGAGAAAUAUUAUCUAUUAAAAAUUAUUCUAAAGAUUAUAUAUAGUUAUAUUAAAGUUUAAAAUUGUCUCGGAGUCUCCUUCUACCACCUUAUGAAUGAUAGGAGAUGAAAGUGAGUUAGUCCCCGGAUGAGAAAAGCCAAAGCGAAUGAGAUCAACAGAUGUGUCCCAAGUCCAAGCUGAUAUCAGUCACCACCACCAUCAUUGUUGACAAACUAAGAAAAGACCAGCUUCGGUCUUCUCACACUCUUUCAGCUGAGGCCAAAGUUUCUGUAGUCCAGUUUGGCUGCAACCGGUGAAGGUUCUACCGGAGGCCUUCCGAUGAGAAAUUCCAAGUCAGGCUUUCUCAUCUGAACUGGUCCAAAUCAAUAUGAAGAAAGAGAAUUCAUUGACCGAUGCGCAUACUCCACACCAUCUUCUUCCUCGCUGAUCGACACCUUUUAACCUCAAUUUUGCUUUGGAGGUGCAUUCUAAUCCUAAUUAUAUAUUGGACUUAUCCUUCAGCCUCAAUUCUAAUCAUAUUAUUUUGGUUACAUUAUCAAACGAUGGAUAAGAUACUUAACAGAGAGAUGAGUAUAUUUUGAUGUUAGAUUAAUUAUUCUUAUCUUUGUCAGUCAGUCAAAUUUAAUCCUUAUAUAUUUUUUUUUAUUUUGUAUGAUUAAAGCUUGCUUAACUUUGUGUUUGUGUGGGCUUAUUAUUAGGGCCGAAGAGUCUUUCUUUUUUGUGUUGUUAAAGAAAUAGUAGAUCUAAGCCCAUAACGAUUAAGAGACUUUUGACACAUUUUAUUUGUGUAAUCACUCUGAUUGCUAGAAAACACUAUCAAAUCUUUACAAGAAAGAUGAUUGUGUGUUUCGGGGCCAAAAUAAGAUUUUACUUCGCGACGAUCAUUCGUCAUCUGCCUCUAAAUAAUUUUUCAAUCCGAAUUUGUAUUUCAUUUGGUAUUGUUAUCACGCAUGACUCAAAAGAAUUAAAAGAAUAAAUCUUAUAACAUUUAUUAUUAGUUUCUUGUGAUAGAGAUUAGGAAGCAAGUUGAUGAUGGAUGGAUGUCAAGACUUGUUGAUGAACAAAUGUGUCGUGACUGAUGAUUCAUCAUGGCCUGGUCCAUGGGUCGAUGUCGGGAGUUUUCUAUCGACUGAGCUAGAUACCGAGGUCGAUCGAGCCCUCGCGAUGGGGUGUUGAUCAGCAUUUCUCGGUCCGGGUGCUGGUUGAUGGCUCGCCCUGGGGAUGUUGGUCGGCAACUUCCAAGGUUAGGACACUCGUCGGGAGUUUUCUUGCAAAAAUGACAUUCGUCGGGUGAUUCCCGACUUUGGCACCUCCGACGAGCAAGUCAGUGAUGGGUUGAAUUGUUUUUUUCUCCUACUAUGGCCGGAUGCUGGCCAUGGGCUUUUAUACUAUUGUAUGACGAUCAAUUGCACGCGGGUUCGACGUGGCCAUUGAUCUUUAAGAGUUGAGAUGACACUUAUGAUCGGUCGUCAUCUCGGGAUGCACAGAGCGACGUUAGACGGUGCUGCCUUGGGUUCUCGGGACGGGACAUGUCGAACAACGUAUUGGUACGGAUUUUGACUUUGUGUGUGGAGGUGUUCCUUUUGUUGAUUCUUUGGUUGGCGUGAUGAUACGUGGGUCAAACAAUACCUUAGUACGGAUUCUGACCUAACGUAUGACAUCAAAUGUGACGUGUCUUAAGCCCAAAAUAUGGAGACUAAACAAAUCAUACUCCAAAGCUUGAUGAGUAUACUCAUGUCCAUAAACAUUUCAUGUGGAUGGCGUGACUUAUCUCCUACUUUCUUCUCACUCACUCUCUCUCUCUCUCUCUUACCUUUGGAGAGAAAUUAAUUUUAUCUCUAAUUUAACUAAACUCGAAGUGAGAUGACAAAGGAAACAAAAUAAAGUGAGAUGACAAAUUUGUUAUCACGUCACGGUUGUCACAGUGAUUGAUGCAUCAGUUCUACCAAAUAUUCAACCAUUAAAUGCAUGGAAAAUAUGUCAUGGCUGUUGCAACUUUAUUUUCAUGAAUUUGGACUGUACAAUUGAUUGUCUUAUAUACAUAUAUGUAUACAUAUAUAUACAUAUAUUUAUAUUUAUAUAUAUAAGAUAUUCUUUGCAUUACAAUGUGGCACAUAAAUGGCAUUAAUGCAUACGCAUCUGUAAUAAGACUCAUUUAAGAAACUCAAAUUAAUUCCUAGUAAUUAUGGCAACCAAUUAAAAGCUUUUUUUAAUAUAAAACAACAAUAAAUAUGCCUUUAUAAUUCUUGCCAUCUUUUUUUGUUCUAACGUUCGAUUAGAUUUACUAUAAUACGCAUAUAUUUAAGUCUCUUAAUUUUACAAGGAUAUUUGUUUUAUAUAUAUUUAUAUAUAAACAAAUAUUUGGUAAGUUGGAUGGAGCUAUCAUGGUUUAUUUCCAACCAAAUUAUGGAUUUAUUGUGCGUCAUACGGUGGUAGUUGAAGUGAUCAAUCCUCACGUAAAUCCAUCAGGAAAGAAAUCAUAUAUAUAUAUAUAUAUAUAUAUAUAUAUAUAUAUAUAUAUAUGUAUAAUAAUUAUUAUUAUUAUUCAGAGAAAUGAUAAAUUAAUGGUUACAUAUCACACCGAGAAAAAAGAAAGGGUUAUAUUAGAUGCAUGAUAAAAGAAAAAGAGAGAGAGAGAGAUUGAUGCAUUGGUUAUACCAAUAAAAUAAUAAUAAUAAUAAUAAAUAAUAAUGAAUGAAAUGUCAAAUUUCUCAGUAAUAUCGUCUUGUCGAGUAAUUGACUUUAAAUUAAAAGUAAUAUUGAAUCGAGGUUUUAAAACAAUUGUAAUUUGUUUUAUUCACAGUGAUUAUUAGGCCUUUCUUUUCUUUCUUCUCAUUUCAUCUUUCAUCGUCCAUUUUAUAUAGAAAUAAAUAAUAAAAAAUAAGAGACAUAUAUAUGUAUAUUCUUAUUUUUUUCCACAAGAAAAUGUAAAAAAUUAAGUCUUUUAAAUCAUAUUUUCGCUAAUCUAAUUUUAGAAGAAAGAAACAAAUCAGGAAUUUGAACCCAACCAUCCUAAGCGGCUUUUAGAAUUCUUAUUAUCAAAUAUAUAUAAAUAGAGGAAAUUAAGUUAGAGAGUCGACUUUAAUAUAAUAUUUUAUUUAUUUUUAAAAAUAAAAAGGAUAGAUAAUUAAAUAACUAAAUUGUAAGGGGGCAAUAUGUAAUUUGAACUGUACUUUUCAAUCGCUUUCCCAUCUGUCCUGUAAUCUCACACGCUUUUUCUUCUCCUCCUCUCCCCCCGUCACUGCCUUCCUCCCCUGCUUUCCAAUGCAACCUUAAAGCUUUCAGGCUCGCUUUGGUCCCAUAAACCGUCUCCCUCCUCUCUCUGUCUCAUUGCCUUCGCCGUUCCACUCCACAUUUGUUCGUCCAUUUCUUCCCAACUUCAUUCUCUGCUCCCCCUCAAAAUCCCAACUUCUUCUUCUUCUUCUUCUUCUUCUUCUUCUUCUUCUUCUUCUUCUUCUGCAUUGGUCCUGUUUAGGAAGAUUUAAUCCGGUUCAACUCGCUUCUUGUGUUGUUGUUGUUGUUGGUUUAGUCGAGGAUUUUUGUGUUUCGUAGUGAAAGUUGGGAUUUUGGACAUGGAAGGAGGAAGACGGGGGAUGGACAGCUUGGUGACGGCCAGGCGCACGCUGGUGGUGAGCCUGGAGAAGUCGCGGACGCUGGGCACCGCCCUCGCGCGCGCCGGCCCCCGCCUCGACGAGAUCCGGCAGCGCCUCCCCUCGCUGGAGGCCGCUGUCCGCCCGAUCCGCGCCGACCGCGGGAAGCUCGCCGCAGCGGGCGGGCAUAUCGACCGCGCCGUUGGCCCUGCUGCCGCCGUGCUCAAGGUGUUCGACGCGGUCCACGGCCUCGAGCGGUCCCUCCUCGCCGACCUCCGCGCCGAUCUCUUCGGCUACCUGUCGGUCCUCAAGCGCCUCGAGGAGGCCCUCCGGUUUCUCUCUGAGAACUGUGGCCUCGCGGUGCAGUGGCUCGACGACAUUGUGGAGUACCUCGACGACCACUCCCUCGCCGACCCCCGCUUCAUCGAGGCCCUCAAGGCCUCCCUCGACUCCGUCAAGCCCUCACCUUCGGCUCUCGACGGCGGUCUCCUCGUUGCCGCCCUCGACAAGCUCGAAUCUCAGUUCCGGCGCCUCCUGGCCGAUCACACCGUCCCUCUUCAAAUGCCAUCCGACAUCGUCGGCGUCCCCGCCAUCGCCCCUUCCCCCAUUCCUGUCUCUGUCAUCAACAAGCUCCGCGCCAUCCUCGAGCGUACCACUGCAAACGACCGGCUUGAUCGCUGCAUCUCCAUCUAUGUCGACGUGCGAGGGUCCAAUGUCCGCGCCAGCCUCCGCGCGCUCGACCUCGAGUACCUCGAGAUCACGCCCGCCGAGUUCAACGGCGUGCAGAGCAUCGAAGGGUACAUCCAGAAGUGGUGCCGCCACCUCGAGUUUGCCAUCAAGCACCUCUUCGAGGCCGAGUUCAAGGUGUGCAUCGAGGUGUUCGAGCGUGCUGGACCGCGAGAUGUAGCCCUGUCAUGCUUCGCGGAGAUUGCUGCACACGCUGGGAUGCUCGCGUUCCUCCGGUUUGGGAAGACGGUCACCGAGACAAGGAAAGAUCCCAUCAAACUACUCAAGCUUCUUGAUAUCUUUGCGACAUUGAACAGAUUAAGGUUGGACUUCAACCGGAUUUUUGGAGGAAAGGCUUGUGCUGAGAUCCAGAAUCAAACAAGGGAUCUUAUCAAGAGAGUGAUUGAUGGGGCUUGUGAGAUCUUUUGGGAGCUCUUGCAUCAAGUGGAGCUGCAAAGACAGAUGCCACCACCUUCCGAUGGAGCUGUGCCAAAGCUGGUGUCCUUCGUCACUGAUUACUGCAACAAGCUUCUCAGCGAGGAGCAUCUGCCGGUGCUCACUCAGGUUCUGAUCAUAAAUCGGAGCUGGAAGCAGGAGAAGUUCCAAGAGAGACUCCUAACUGAUGCAAUUUUGGACAUAUUUAAAGCCCUCGAGGCAAAUUUUGAGACUUGGUCCAAGAGCUAUGAGGACAUUCCUCUUUCCUAUCUAUUCGCGAUGAACACACAUUGGCAUUUCUACAAGAAUCUGAAGGGGACCAAGCUGGGGGAGCUAUUAGGUGAGGCAAAGUUGAAGGAGCAUGAGCAGUACAAGGAUUACUAUGCUACAUAUUUCCUGAGGGAAAGCUGGGGAAAGCUUCCAUCUCUACUGAGUAGGGAAGGGUUGAUAUUGUUCUCAGGGGGUAGAAGCAAGGCACGGGAUCUGGUGAAGCAGCGAUUGAAAGCUUUCAAUAAGUCCUUCGAUGAGAUGUAUCAGAAGCAGUCAACUUGGGUUAUAUCAGAUAAGGAAUUGAGGGAGAAACUAUGUCAUUCGAUAGUGCAGACGAUUGUUCCUAGUUACCGGAGCUAUAUGCAGAACUAUGGGCCUCUGGUGGAGCAAGACGCAAGCGCAAGCAAAUAUGCAAAGUACACAGCCCAAAGCUUGGAGAACAUGCUUGGUUCUCUUUUCCUGCAUAAGCCUGGGAGAACAAUGAGUCUCAACAUUAGGCACUCAAAUGGAAAAUUGAAUAGUGUAAUGACUAGCGUGUCUCGCUCUGCCUCAACUGUGAGCUGAUGAAGUCAUUUCUGUUUUUUAGGAUGGAAGGGAAAGUAACCGUGGUUUCUCAUUUUCUCAUGUGUAUAGCAGUUAAAAGCAUGAGGACUGGGUCUGCAGCAAUUGGUGUUGGUUCAAUGAGCAUAUCAUGGUCAUAUGCUUGGAGCGGUGGUAUGGGUUGGCGGCUAGAUAUAUCAGUUUGUACAAAGGUUUUCACGGAUGAUCGGUUAGGGAGCAUUAACUGUGGAACCUAGCUAUCAAGCAUGCUACAGACAAACUAAUUUGCACGUCUUGAGAAACAAAGACGAUGGAGGGGGACACUAGGAUUGGUGUCUUGACACUCAUCUAGCAGAAGCUACUUCACUAUACUGCUUUAGAGGUCUAUUUCUCUCUCUGAAUAUGCAUCAAUAUUUAUUCAUUUUAGGCUGGAGGAUAUGGGAAAACAAACAUGCAAUUUGCUUUAAUAUGUAAAUUUUGUAUGCCAAGGUGCACAUGGCGCCCUUGUAUCUUUCUUUUUGUCCAUUCAUCAACAUUCAUCUUAUAGGUUGCAAUAUGCUAAGACCUAGAUUAGAUGCAUGACGCAGGAGUAAACCACAUAGAAUCUUAUUGUGGUGUUGUGAUAGUUUAGCUUAAAUCAUUUCACAAGUUUGAAUUUGCUUUGUUUUCCUCAGAGUGAAAUUUGUGCUUGAGUUGUGCUGCUAACUAGCACUCUGCUUGUACAUGACACUCGAAAUUCCUACUCGCAUACGUUUUGGCUUUGAUGGUACUCAACAAUUAUACUAUCUAAAAUGUAAAUCAAAUGAAAAUGGUGUUAAAAGACAUGGUAGUGGUUUACAAGUUUGGAGUUCCACAAGGUCCAAUAAUUUGUGAUGCUCAUUCAUCAGAGCUACUGAGUCCAUGCCGGGUUUAUCCUAUGCUUAUGUUGAGGACUCAUUCUUGGUUGGAAAUGCAUGGACAUUUUAUAUUCUUCAUUAUGCAUGUCAUUUCCUGAAUCCAGUAAAGGCAGUAUCUCCUGUUGUAGUUCUUGCUUGAAUUUCCUCGAGUAAUUAUUACCCACAUCCUAAGCGUUGACAUGCCUUGUCUUGUCAUAGUGGAAUUUUUUAUACACUAUAUAUACAGGGUAUGAUAAGUCCGAUCCUACUCUUUUAAUUGGUAGAAGAUUGGAUUUCAGCAAGGUUUAGGGCUGCACUGCACAACUAAGAUCUUCCUUAACUUUGUUAUACCUAAGCAUGUUUUAGUUGAGUGCGCAUUCAUUUGCUUUCUCUCAAAAAAGAUCAAGUCGAAGACCCCCAACCAUGGCAACCUUUUUCUAGGCCAAACACCUUGUGGAUCUUAUUUUAAGAUCACAUGAGAUAUCCGCGUUUGCCGGAGGAGGAUCAUGAAGUCUUUCAGGUAAGCUUUUUAAUCUUAUUUUCAAAUUCUGAUACUGUUCAUUAGUGCUUUAAAAAUGUUUUGUCCCUCCCUGUGAGAUGGUCUAUAUACAGAGAUCUCUCUAUAAUAAUAUUCUCAGAGGUAUAAAAGUAGUGUGGUAUAUACUAACCCUUGCUUUAAGAUGCUGCCCACCUUGCAGAUGAUAGAGCAACUUAUUCUUUCAUGUUUUUAGUGUGUAGAAUUGCUUUUUGGGUGCUUCCUUUCUAUUUUCACUUUUCCUGUUUGCAAAUCAUAAUGUGCACAACAGACUAUAUUUUCAGACUUUGCAAGUCAGAUAUGUCAUAAAGGUAUUAUGGUGAUAAUGAAGUGCAUAAAUAUUGGUUAUAUGUUGAAUGGUUAAGAAAGAUACUUGUGAUUCAAGUGAUGUCCAUGCAAUCAUAGUGCAGUUCAUAACUUACAUGGUUGAAGCAUCUAUCAGAAAUUGGAGCUUUCUUGCCCUAGAAAUCGGUUUAUAUCAUUUCAUUGUGAGAAUUUUGCUUUGAUUUCUACUAUGAUUUUGGCCAAUCUAGUCUCAGAAAACCAUAGAAAAACAGUUGUGUGCUUUCAAUUGGGAUUUAGGUGUCUUGGCACUCAGUUGAACCAUCCCUGGGACAAAAAGUGUCAAGUAGGUAGCUUCAUCUACAUUUAAGAAAGGGACAUCCAUAUGAGAAACCUUGAGAGGAAGGGAAAUAUUAAUGUGGUAGGCAGAGAGCACAAAUCCUUGGCUAAGAGUAUCCCACAUGUUAUUCUAACACAACCAUCCUCUUCAAUGUGCAGACCAAAUGAAUGUGACAUGAAGAUGAAGAAGAAUCACUACUUGGAUCCAUGCUCCCUCUUCCAUGCAUCACCCCAUUGAAGGCCAUGGCCACUCUCACACACCAUCUUUUUCUUCAGUGAACUCAGAGAUGUCUCUCUUGCUACCAUAUGGUUCCAAUUUGUGCACCACAAGCAAUAGGUUGCAGCAUAUUUAUCCCCUCGAGCAUUGUCAAGAUGAAUGCAUCAAGUAACCUUCUUGUCUACAUCUUACUUGUAUCAGACUUGUCUACAUCUUCCAUCACAGUGGAUGCAUCAAAGGUGAUUGGGGCUUAUAAAGCAGCAGUAAAAGCCUUUACUUUUUCUAAAACAGUCUUUUACUUUUCAAAUUUUCUUGGAAAUCACUUAUACUUUGAAAAUUUCCAAAGCAUAUAUCUCUAUGUAAAAAGAUCAUUUUAUCCAUUCUUUCAUCAAACAUAUUAUUGUCGGUAGCUCACAAGGGCCACCUUCGGUAAUCCCAUCGGCUCACAAAGACAAUAAAGCGAAAAGAUAAAAGCGUGGUUCGAUCAAUUAACUUUGACCUACAUCCACAGACGAAAGAGGAGCAAAUCACUAUUAUGAAAAAGAACUAUUACAAAUGCCUUAGGAAGAUGUUCCUAGGUCAUAAAACACCCGAAAAUACUAAACAAGAAAAACUCAAAGUAUAAGUCCAAACUAUUUAACUGAGUGUGGACUUAAACCAAAGAAAAUACUUAGGUUUUCUUAUGGUGCAUUUGAUUUUAAAGCUCAGACCCUUAUUUAUAAUUCCAAUAGGAGAUAACAAGUUUGAUUUUCCCGAUGUGGGACUAUGGGAUUUGCCAAACUAGCAUAUGAUCACCCCUUUUCCCUUUCUUUGUGAGUAAAAAUAGGCGACGUAACCUCAGGACUACGAACAAUUAUACGAGAUAAAGAGAUGCUGUCGCAAUGGUCGAAGAGGGUAAAAUAUUCAUUUUGAAAAAAAAAUAUUAUUAUAAUUGUUUUCAAAAUAGUAACGUUAUGAAAAAAAAAUAUCGAAAAGUAAUAAUGGAUGGAAAGAUUUUAGGUUGAUAUUUGCUGACGAAAGACCAGGAAAACAUAGGGUCUAAUUCUCUCAUCCAUCGAAUCUUAUCUCUCCAACUAUUCUCUUCUCACCCAUCUUAAAUCUUAUCUUCCCAAGAUGUUCACGUCGGCACAAUAUAGUAUAUGUUCGUUGUUCCGCGUACAUUGACCCUGGGGCACGUAGAUUGUGGUGGGGUAUGUGUGCGGUCGUCGGGCCCGCGUCGCUGUCGCGAGCGUAGACACGUUUUAUAGGCCCUGUGGGAACGUGUCGGGGCUCCCUCUCUCUCUCUCUCUCUCUCUCUCUCUCUCUCUGCGUCUGACGUAACUGUGCAGCAUGCCAUGAGGGAAGGGACGGCCACCCUGCUCCCACGCUGCCGGGGGGCUGCUUACGCGUCGGUUUACGAGAAUAGCGCUGCUGAGGCUUAACAGGCAGAGGAGGAGGAGGAGGAGGAGGAGGAGGAUGUCGUCUCUGGUGGUGCCCAAUGCGGGACUGAAGAAUCAUCACGUUGGCCUGCCAGUGUACCUCCACGGAGAGGAGCAGGUUGAGAAGAAGAGGAAGGAGGAGGCGGAGGUGGUGCGGAGGAGGAACGGGUUCUGUUUGGGGAGGAAGGAGGUGGCGGCGGAGUCAUCAGAGAGCUCGUCGAUCGGCGCUGCGUCGUCCGAGGAUGAGGGCUCACGCCAAGAAGGUAGGGAGGCGAAGGAGGAGGAGGUGGAGAGCAAGAGGAAGGAUGGGGCGGCGCUGGGGUCUCUGGAUUCCUUGGAAGACUCUCUUCCCAUCAAGCAAGCCUCUUUUGUUGCCUUCUCUCCUCUCUCUCUCUCUCUCUCUCUCUCUUCGUAUUUUCUACGAUUAAUUAUCUAUUUAUUCUUCUCUCUCUUUCUAUGAUUAUGUUGGUUGGCAUGAUCAUGUCAGAAAGUUCUUCCAACGUGAUGUUCUUAAUGGUCUCAUAACACAAUCUUCCUCCGAACCAUCGCAGGAGAGGACUAUCCAAUUUCUUCUCAGGGAAGUCGAAAUCAUUUGCCAGCUUAUCAGACGCUGCCACCGCGAGCGCAAAAGACAUGGCGAAGCCCGAAAACCCCUUCAACAAACGCAGGAGACUCCUCAUGAUGAGCAACAUUAGAAGUGCUUCCUACACUUCACUCUCGUCCCGAGAUCACACGGUGAAGGAAGCAGAUGAGGAAGAGGAGGAGUAGGAGGAGAAGCAUAAAAGGUGACCUUCCUCCUUGGCUCCCUUCCCCCACAAUGGCAACAAUGACACGAAGAAGAAGAAGAAGAAAGAAUUUUAGAUCUCCUAGAUCCUCCUCCCUGUCUGAUCUCCAACAUGUUCUUCGAUCUUGCUAACAAGUCCCGAUGCCUUUUUCAUGGUGAGAUUUAGUCAGAAUAAUCUUAAAUUUGUUUUUUACUGUCCACAAUAUUCGAUUGUAAGCUGUAAAGAUGAAGCGAGAUUUAUCCGAUCACAAAGCGUUCGUCAAACAUGAAACAAAUGCUAGCAAUAAUAUUAUUAGCAGCAGAAAACAGUAGCUUUGUACUUGGAAUGGCUUUGGGAGCCGCGUGCAACGCACGUGUCGUUCCACCCGACCAUUUAGAUUUGCUCGAUCUGUGCCACAACCGUCGGUCUUUCUAUUCCUAAACUCGGCUGCUCGUCCAUCCGUUUGUAUGAUCUCAGGAUGAUAGAUUCUGAUGUGAAGAUAUGGAAUGGAAAAUGGAUGUUGUAAUGGAUUCCAGUAGAGAAAUCGAGUAUUAUUUGGAUUUGGAUUGAAGCAAAGGUAGAUCCCUAUUCCAACUUAGAUCCCACUGGUUUGGAUCUAUCACUGCUCAGUCCAAUGCAUGGAAUAACUUAACUCAUCGAGUUUAAAUCAUUGAUUUAAAAUAUUUGAACUUAAUACUACCCCAUAUAAUCCAUUCUAUAUCAAUUACAUAUGCAUAUUAUAUUUAUAUAUCGAUUAUAUUCUGUGUGGUUUUGGAUUGGCUGGCAAAUAGUCCCCAUCACUAAAGUUAUAUAUUGGGAAUAUAUUUAUAUUUUUUAAUAUAUUUUUUAUUUAAUAAUAAUAAUCCUAAGUAUUUUAUAAAUAAUAGAUAAAAAUAAUAUUUGAUAAAAUUGUAUGUCAAGAGUUGUUGAAUAUUACAUAAUAAAAUUAUGCUUUUAAAAUUAAGAUAUUAUUAUUUAAAUUAAUAAAUAAAUAAAAAUAAAUAUAUGUAAUCUUAUAAAAAUUUAUAUAGCCCAAAUAUAUAAUAUAAUAUAAUCAUAUAAAAUAAAUAUAAAAAUCAAGAGAAAUGAUGAGGAAAAGGAUUUCUAUCAUAUAGUAAAGAAUUUUAUGAUUUUAGAUAAUGUCAUAUGAUAUAUUAAAAAUUUAUAAAUUUAUAUUAAUAUUAUAUAAGUACUAAAAUGUUAACACUAUACUAACCUAAUAUUAGCAUUUGAGUAUUUUCAUUGUAACAUCAAAGUCAAAUAUGAUCUCUUAGAGAAAAUUAUCAAACACUAACUCAUAUUUAAAAGAUGCAUUUUGACGCAACAUACAUUUCAAAUGUACCCUAAAUCAUUGUCAAAUGAUAGAUGUGAUCUUGUAAUCACAAUUAUUGCUUAAAACAAUAGCAUCACCAUCUUCCACCAAAUUUAAAAUAAUCCUAUUGUCUUAUAUAUGACAACACCAACAAGUAGGAAUAUAAAUAAGUGGAUUGUGUGCUGUAGUUUCCAAUUCAACAUUUGAAUCUCAAAUCUAUAUGUAAAAUGAUAUUAUGCCAUUUGUAUAGUCCUUAGCAUACACUCUCCCACAUAAACAAAGUCAAAAGAUCAUUUCUACCCAUCUUUCCUUUUUCCCCUUUUUUUUUUUUCUUUUCCAUUAUAAUUUUAUAUUAAUAAUAAUAAAAUUAUUAUAUCCCUGUAAAAUAAACAAAAAACUUACAUAUAUAUAUAUAUAUAUAUAUAUAUAUUGAUGUUUAAGUUUAAUUGAUAUUAACGCUUUAAUCAAAAUUUAUAUUAACAUAUUAGUAAUUUAUAUUUUAUGACUCAAACUAGUUACUGAUAAACAUGGAUUAUAGGGAUCAAUCAUUGGAUUAUGUGAAUAUCUUCAGACAUAUUACAUAUAUAAUUUAUAAGUGUAAAUACAUUAUUUCAAAACAUUGCAAGAAUAUAUCUGCAAAAAAAAAUUGUCUCUUUUUUUUUCAAAAAUUCCUAGAAAAUAUCCACAAACAAAACAUUGAUUUCCACUGUUGAUGAACAAUUCUCAUUUCAUUAAUUUGACCACCUCAAUUUGUCAAACCGACGGCCAAUGUCAACACAUCCCACACGAAAAAGUCAGCUUUCAACUCCGCGCAGCAAAAUUCACCGCAAAGUCAACUUCCACACGGCUGGUCAAAGCCAUGGACGUGUUGAGGUGUCAGCAGGCUCCAAACUCUCGCCCGCCCCGACACAGGCGUCGCCGCCUCCGCGCGACUCACGUUUAGGUACCAUCUGAGCUCACUCUCCUCCUUUGUCGGCUUCUUCGCUUUCCUCCCAGGUGGAAUCCACUGGUUCUGCGAGCUGUCGCUUUGGCCGCGUCCGAGUAAAAGCUUCUUCCCCGUUUGAGACUCCCAGUGCGGAGCUUUAAGGCCUGAAAAGACUCGAGCCUCGGUGUCUUCUUCCCCUGUCAUUCCUCCCUUUCUCCGGAGAAGCAUGGCGGUGGAUCCGAGGCAGGUCCUGGCGGGGCUUUUGACGGUCUCCAUGUUCGCCAUGGUCGGGAACAUGAUCAAAAGAGAUCAUUUUGAUUCCAUCGAGGUAACGGGUUUCUUCUUCGUUUCCUCUUCCCCUUCUUGUCUGGUGGAUGUUUGCACUGUAGUUCGAGUGAUGCUACAGCAAAACUUCAUCUGUCAAAGCUUUGUAUCUUGAACUCAUUGUUUCACAUAGCUCUGCAUGCUUGCAUCUUAAUUAUGCCUCUUAAAUAUGGAAUGAACUGCUUCACAUUUGCCUAUCAUUUCUAAGAUUGGUUGCAGCAUACGAGAGUGAUGGAUGGACAAAUGAUAGCAAAAUCACUCGAAAUGCUUUCUUCUAGGCAAGCAAGGUUCAGAAACUCACUCGGGUUUCGAUUAAAUCAUCUGCAUAUGCAAUCACCAUCAGAUAUAAGCUGGCUGAGAGAGGAAAAAGUGUUUGUAAAAGAGAGAUCGUUUGGUUUCUAAGACUAAAAAGUCCACAAAAUCUAUAGCACUCUCCUUCUUUCCUUCUAAAACAGCCCUUUUUAUCUUUCUUUUAGGUUUGAUAUGUCCUUUGUAUUGUCACAUUCAAGUAUCCAUGCAUGUCCUCAGGUGAGUCUUCAAGAUGUAUCAGGUGUUCCGGUUGAUGUGUUCAAGCCUGAAGAGAAGUCGAUUACCCAUGCAUUAAGACUGAGCGAAGGACAUAGGAAAAAGAGAAACCAGGAGCUUAAACCUUGCUGGAACAGACCAGUCUCGAGUAUGUAUCAGAAGUUAAACUUGUAAGAAUCCCUUUCUUUUCUUUGUUGCCUGUGGAAAUUACUUUGAUCUGUUCUCCCCCUGGAUUUGCUUCUUCAGAAGAUGUAGAGCAGUCACGAGGUUACAUUACAUUCUCUCUAAGAAGUGGCCCAGAGUACCAUGUCUUACAGGUAUGCUGACAACGAUCCACUUCUUCAUGGUCAUGUUUCCUAGAAUCUGAUCUCCAACAUCAAUAAAGUAAGCACAAGUAGUUAUACUGUAGAACAUGCAAUCCACUGUUGGUGAUCUAUUUCAUCGGUUAGGUUACUGAUGCUGUGGUCAUUGCAAGAUAUCUGGGCGCCACACUGGUGCUCCCUGACAUCAGAGGAAGAAAGCUUGGUCAACAGAGGUAUUGCUUCUUUGAUUUCGGUAUGCUCUUCCUCUGCAAAUCCUGAAUCUGAUCGAACAGAAGCUUUUUCUUGUGGCCAUGUGUACUUGGUGAAAGACUCGCAUCAUUGCAGGAACUUCCGAGAGAUGUAUGAUGCGGAUAAGUUCAUCCACCGCCUGAGUGGUGUCGUUAACGUAGCCGACCAGCUUCCGGCUGAAGUAGCAGCUCGGAUGCCAUCUCUUGUUCGAGUCCCUCAUGGCGUAUCUGAAGACUUCAUCAUCCAAAACAUCAAACCGAUCUUCCAAACCAGUCAUUACUUGAGGCUCGCGAGCUACUUCACCUCAGUCGAUUGGAGGAGAAGGGAGAAGCGCAACGGCGACUUGGAUUCCACCGCUUGCUUGGCCAUGUUUGGCAGCCUCGAACUGAAACAGGGGAUCGCCGAAGCGGCUGACGGGGUCGUGGACAGACUGCGAACGCUCAGCCGCAACAUCGGCAGCCGGUUCAUCGCCAUCGACCUCCGCAGUGAUGCUCUGGUGAAGAGAGGCUGCAAGGAGAGCGACGGCAGAAGCAAGGCUUGUUUCGGUGCACGGGAGACGGCAGAGUUCUUGAGGCGGAUCGGCUUCAACGGAGACAACCCCAUCUACGUAACCCAGACUCGGUGGGACGAAAGCCUCGACCCAUUGAGGGAGUUCUUCCCGAGGAGCUACACCAAGGUGAGCAGCUUCUCGCAACGACUGCAGGACCACACGGCCAUCACUGCUUUCUGCUUUCGUGGCGUUGCAGGACGAUCUGAUGCCUGCGGAGAAGAAAGGUGAGUUGGUCAGCUCAGGGAGCGAAGUGGAGAGAGCACUUGACCUCCUUGUUUGUGCCCAAAGCGAUGUGUUCGUGCCUGCAAUUUCUGGUCUGUUCUACGGGAACGUGGCCGGGAGGAGGAUAGCUUCGGGCCGCCCGGAAAUGGUGGUGCCAUCUCGAGGGCCGCCUUUCUCCGCCAGAGCUUCUGAUUUCGUCUCGAGCUAUGUCUCCAGGAGGAACCACGUUGCGUACUCGUGUUACUGCUAACGCCGUUCGCAGUCAUCUCCUCUACUGCUGCUCUGUGACUGUCCGAUCAUCGAAAGCGAGUCGCCGUAUUGAUGAACGUAUAUGGCAUAAUAAAAGCAAUCGUUUGCCAAAAAUAGAAAAAAUCAUAUCUCUUGACGUGUGAUCUAUCUGUCAAAAAUAGAAAAAAAAAUCAUAUGAAGUGUUGUACGUAAAUAAUGUAUAAAAAUAUUUUUCCGAUAUACAAUAAAGAAAGACAAAUGAUAUGAUCAUUAUUUUUAUUAAACCAUUUUUCCGAUACACAAUAAAAGAGACAUACCGUAUUAGUUACCAAAAAUGAUAAAAAUUUUGAUAGACAAAUACACAAUGAGGAGAAGCAAAUGAUUUGAUCAUUAUUUUUGACCAAUUAUGACUUGACACAUGGAAUCAAAUCAAUUAGCACUAGACAUAUUAUGCCCGUUGCCAAAAAGAUUAAAAUUUGGUUAGACAUCCAUCUUUAACAGAUUAUUUAAAGAGGAUAAUAUUUCAUUAAAUCAACAGUUACUUUUUAUAUAUAUAUAUAUAUAUAUAUAUAUAUAUAUAUAUAUAUAUAUAUAUAUAUAUAUAUAUAUAUAUAUAUAUAUAUAAAGGAAUAAGUGAUAAAAAUAUGAGAUUGAGUUAUAUGAUUUCGAAUCUUAAGUAUUGAUAGUUUAUUAUUACUAGACCACCUAAAAAUUUAUCGACAAAGCUUCAAACCCUCACAUAAAUGUACCAUAAAAUUGUAGAUUUCAAAAUCCCAAUAUUUGAUAAAUAAUAGCAUGGUGUGUUUCUCUGAUUCCAAAAUGUCCAAAUUUAGAUUCUAUUUCAAUCAUUCUACCUUUCGUGUCGAAAUCUUCACUGCAGUCCAAAGAUUCAUCAUAAUUUAGUUCAUGCUAAAUUCUUCCCACAUAACAUGCAAUCGACACAUUUUAAUUAGAAGAUCUCCGUGAAAAAGGAGAAAAAGUAGUUCAUCACAUGAUGUCAAUACAAAAAACAUGGAUAUAUCUUCUCUUCUUCACUCCAUUCCCAAUUCAUCUAAAAGUAAUCUUGAAUAAUGCUUUAGUAGUUCAUGUAGUUAUUUACAUGUGUUAAACAAGGGUGACAUUUAGGUCCAAUUUUGUGUGUCUAUCACUUGGACCGGGUCCGGUUCGGGUUAGGUGGUUCCCGGAUCCGACCCGGCCAGUCUCCACAAACGUAAGGCCAUCGGAUUGAUAGCCGUGAUUCUGUUUCCGCCCCUCGAAGCGGUGACCAGAACUCGAAAGUAUGUUGUCCGCGUAUUAGAAUCAUAUGCGGAUAAAUAAUCGACCGUCCGUAUUCCGAUAGAAAGCCCGAGAUCACCGUCCAUGGAAAGCAUCGUCUCCUUGGCUUUUAACGCAAGGGGUGUUCGUAUGCAAUUAUUUUGUGUUCGUUUGCUUUGGUUUGUUUGUGUUUGGGAAGUGGGAAAAGGCGAGAUCUGGCCGACCUCUUCGUCUCCGACGGCGAAACGGGAAGGAGAUAGCGGGAGGCGAGGAAAAGAACAGGCGGAGGAGGAGGAGGAGGAGGAGGGGGAAGGGGAGGAGGAUAAGGGCGGCGGGUCCGAAGGUUCCUUCUCCGGGCGGCGGUGGGUGCGAUGAUCCGUAGCUCGGAUUCGUGCGGCGCGUGAUCCCUCGGAGCUUGGAUCGCCCUCACCAUGUCCUCGUGGUUCUCGUUUUGGCGAUCCAGGAACCGCUUCUCGUUGGACGAGCUUCGGUGCGUCGCUUCCUCUCUUUCUUGGUUCUUCUUUCUUUAGGGUUUCCGAUCUCGGGAUUUCUUGGUUGAAAAUUGGGUGCUAGGUUUGGGCGUUUCGUCUGAGAUUUCUUGACCUUGCCGAAAUGCUUAUUGUGUAUUAAUUGGCUCAAAUUCGUGGAAGUUGGUUUGAAUUUAGAAGAGAAAAGAAGGGGAUACAUCAUUCAAUUGACACAUCACAGAAGCGGGAAAUCAUAGUCCAUUAUCCCUUCAAAAAGCAACAGGAAGACGAGAGGGUGAUUAUCGUUGAAGAGUAUUUUUUUUGUGAUAUGUUCGGCACGUAGGAACUUGCAGUUGUAGGAACAUCUAGCUUUUAUAUUUUAAUAGUACUCAUUUUAUUUCCUGGUUUAAUUUAUCUAUUUAAAUUGUCCGUGGGAAGGCACCAUUUUCAAUAGAAAUGGCAGAUUUUCUCUUGAUGACACUCUUGCUGAGACAAUCGAUUAUGCAACUAGACUUUUGUUUUUUAAAAAACGUGCCUGUUGGAAACUUGGUACCAAGCAAACCAAUGGAUAUGGACAUGGAUGACUCUCACUAUAUUCUUUUGUCUUUUGGUUGGUGAAGAUGGGUAAUUUGUAAGAACGGAUCUGGAAUGAGGCGCCCAAGAUUGCUGUUUGGAAAAUGAUGUGUUGGUCUUGGUUUAUUGCGGGAUAUAAGUUUAGAGAAGAAAGAGCUCAUAGGAAUAUAAGCUGGAUACACAAGAAUGUUCUUGCCCCCUAAUGAUUAUGAUGGUUUCCUCCAAUUACUUAAACUUAGUUGGAGCUUUUCUGCGUAAUAUGUUAACUUAAAACAUAAAGCCUAAUCAUAACCCUGCAGAAUUUCUCCUUGAAAUACUUGACAAACUUAUGAUUUCCUCAAGUUAGUGUAAAGCAGCUGCCACAUCCCAUUGCUUGCCACCUUCAGGCUGCAAUUGCUAGUGUCCUUCAUCAGCAUGACUUUUCUUCGAACGAUGAUAUCAUGCAUUUUUUAGAUUAUUAAUUUACUAAUGUGUCUGCACUGUAUUAGUGUUUCUAAUGAAGAAGAACUCAUGUUCUCCUAUUAGAUAUGCUUAUACUUGUAAUUGCUGGUAACUCAUUGGGAUCUUUGUUGAGCUUCUCUGCUUGAUAUAGUUUUCCGAAAUGAACAUAUUCAGUCAUUUGUGCCCCUCAAAAGGAUGGCACAAUAAUUUAGCUUUGGGUAUAGGGUGAGAUCCAAAAUAUUGCUUGUAUGCCUGGACGUUGUAAUUGCUUUAGAAGAAUUUAGUAUAUUGUGUAACAAACAUCAAGAUUCUAUGACGGGGAAGAAAGAACUGCUUGUUAUUCUGAUGUUUCGAAUGCCUUUCAACGUGAGUGAUUGGAAGCCUUAUGAGUUGUGAUUACAUUUAUUUUAGCUUGAAGUGUUGUUUUGCUGGCUUGAUCCAACUACUUUUAAAUUAUCUGCAGCUUAUUUUAUUUGACUUUGUGCCCGUCUCACUACGAGUCUCUUUACAUUUGCAUUUUUCCCCAUAUUACUUGUUCAUCACUAUCUGGUCUUUGAAUUAUUGUGAGUUAAGUAGGUUCUAGUAUCUAUUUUGUUUUGUGGUAUCCAACCAUUUUAACAUCACUCUAUUUGGUACAGAUAUCUAACAGAUCAGCUGCAAAAGGUUCAAUUUGUGAAUGAUGUCAACAAGGUAAAUUUUUGCUUGAUUUGUUCCAUACAUCAAAAUUUCAUCGAUCAGUGUUCAUAUUGCCAUGCUCUGUCAUGAAGGAUUCUGUAAUUGAAGUGUUGAGAUCCAUUGCUGAACUAGUGACAUAUGGUGACCAGCAUGAUCCCUCCAUUUUUGAGUGAGUAAAUUGCUUCAGUUCAGUUCCUCUUUUAUGCACUGGCAUUAGUAAUAUAGUCUGGUUUGCCUUUUAGGUUCUUCAUGGAGAAGCAGAUUAUGGGUGAAUUCGCACGAAUAUUGAGGAUUAGUAAGCUGGCAAAUGUUGCGCUUCAGUUGCUACAGACGAUGAGCAUUAUGAUCCAGAAUUUAAGAAAUGACCAUUCAAUUUGUAAGUAAAUGCUUAGUGUUUCAACAGUUGGAACAUAAUUAGUGCCUACUUUUUGGCAUAUGACAUGAUUGCCACUUCUGUUGCAGACUACAUUUUCAGUAAUGAACACAUUAAUUACCUCAUUACAUAUUCCUUUGACUUCCGAAAUGAAGAGCUAGUGUCAUACUACAUAUCCUUUUUGAGGUUUGUGAUUGCUUUCUUCGUGUGUAUCGUAUUUCCUGUAUCAUACUAUGAGAGCUUCUUUUACUCUUAUUUUGAGUUCUAUAUUACUUAACUACCCAGAUUCUUUAUCUUUGAAGGGCAAUCAGUGGAAAGUUGAACAAGAACACAGUCUCAUUGCUUGUGAAGACUGAAAAAGUAUGGAACACAGUUUUUAAUAUGCAAUUACUGAUAUCCUUUUUAGUGUUGUAUGUUUUGAUUGUUUGUGUUCAUAUUAUGUAUUUAAAUCAACAAAGUAGCAGUCACAUACCUUUUUCACGUUUCAGUAAUAAUGUGGGUAAAAGAAUAUGGAACUUGUACUGGUCAUCGGAGAAUUAAGUCCAUUAUACAUCUCAAACUUAUGGCAGCACAUAUCAGUCAGAUAGUAAUUUAUCUCUUUGAGCAUAUGGAGCUAAUAUACAGGCACAUAUAUAGGAUGACACACUUGCAUAAAGGAUCUGAGUUUUGGAGGAGCAAAUAUACCUGGUCCAUUUUGUUAUUUGUCAUCAACCAUUGUGUUCUAUAGUAAAAGAAAAUGGUGUAUCUACUAUCUAGUUCACGAGGCUCUCACCAAUACAGGGAUUGGGCAGGGUUAAUGUACAAAGUAGUACCUCUGAUUCCAUGACUCAAACUUUGGGAUCUUGUGUACCAAGGCUCGCCCUUAUCAAUUGUGUUACAAUUGGUUGUAAGUUAUAAGAUGAUGAGGAAGCGAAUAAAGAAGAAUUAGCAUGCAGUACUUUGGAUUAAGGAUUACAAUUUUGAUUCGUUACGGUGUACCAAGCCUUGCUUGAUACGGUACGGUCCGAGGCACACCGACGGUAUACUAGUAUGCCUAAAAUCAUAAAAAAACCCUCCAAAAAUACAUGAAAAAUAGGAAAAAUAGAUAAGGGUUUUGAAGUUAGAAAUAAAUAUAAAUUUAGUAUAAUUUUAGCAAAAAUAAUGUAAAUUGACCUAAUAUUGAUUAAAUUUUGAUUAAAUUAUUAAUAAAAUCAUUAAUCACAGUAUUAAAAAACUUAAUUAAACCUAUUAUACCAUCACAAACAUAUGAUUCAAUCAUUAAUAUGCAUGAAAGAUUGGACCUAUUAAGUGUCUAGUUUCAAAAAAAAUAAUAUUAAACACACUAAUAAUAAUAUUAAAGACCUUAAUUACUUUCUAAUUAACAUUAUUCUACAAUAAAAAACAUAUCGAACAACAUAUUAGACAUCAAGUCUAACACCACAUAGAAUAAGCUUACAUCUCAUAAAUCAAUACAAUCUAGAAAGAGAAUAUAUACCUCUUGAUUAGAGUGUUCUUCCUCUUAAUCUUCCCAAAUUAGUCUCAUAAAUUUAAUCCAAUCCAUAAAUCGUAGCUUUGUUGAAUUUAGGAGAGUGAAAAUGUGACAAUAAGAGAGAGAUGCGAGUGAAAAAGAGCUUAAGAAAGUUUAAAAGAUUGAGAGAGUGAAAUGAGUUGAAAGCGGGGGGAGGAAAAGGUUUAAAAACUAUUUUCUAAGUCUCAAAUGAUCAAAUUGACCGUUUGAAAUAAGACAAUCUUAGCCCUUGAUUGGUAAUGGUCGAAAUCCGACUGUUACCGAUCGGUACAGGUCAAUAACGAUUGGAUUUCAACCGUUACCGUCCGGUAUAGAUCUUGUAUCGCCCAAUACAGGGUCAAGUGAUUGGUACCACCCGAUAAAGAGUGGUCCAUGUAUCGAUAUCUUGUCGGACCGGUACAUAUCGCCCGUACUGAGCGGUAUGCAUUGGUACAGCAAACUCUGCUUUGGAUUUUGUUGGACAAUAAAAAGGGGUGUAACUUUUUUCAGUCAAGUGGUUGGACUAGAAGAUGGUUCGGUUAUAGAUGUUAUCACUAGGGAAUACGAAGUCCCAUGAUGUGAACAAAGUAGUGUCAUUUUCCUAUUAGAAGAAAUAACAACUCAUUUGUUGUUCGAGUCAUAGUGCAAAAAGAUCAUGCAAGAAGUAAUAAUCUAGGGACUAAAAGUUGAUGGGUACUCGGAUAAGCAGAAAAGGAACAUUAUAAAUAAAGAG
rnacentral:lncRNA from 1 species